rnacentral:piRNA from 1 species
CAGACUGGCCACAAUCCCCGCUCGC